rnacentral:lncRNA from 1 species
GUCAUUAUGACAUGCUUCUGUUGUCCCUUGCUGCCUGUCUACUCAGCCCACCAGCACCCAGUUGAAAUAAACAGCCAUGUUGCUCACAGAAAGCCUGUUUGGUGAUCUCUUCACACGGACACAUGAAACAUUUGGUGCCAAAGACCCGGGUCAGUGGGACUCCUUUUGGAGACCAGUCCCCUGUCCUCACCCUCACUCCGUGAAGAGAUCCACCUACGACCUCAGGUCCUCAGACCAACCAGCCCAAGGAACAUCUCACCGAUUUUAAAUCAGGACCCCACUAGAAAUUGGACUGUCCAACUGGCCCAAGGCUCUGAUCGACUCCUUCCCAGAUCUCCUCGGCUUAGCAGCUGAAGACUGACACUGCCUGAUCGCCUCGGAAGCCCCUUGGACCAUCACGGACGCUGAGCUUCGGGUAACUCUCACAGUGAAGGGAAACUGAAUUCCAAAAAGGAAACGAACUAACUCAAAUUUUCCCUGAUCUGGAAUUACAAGCAUCAGCUCAUUAUUCCUGCAAUAAAACCGAUUGGCCAGGAGCUAAACAGAAGACUUCUAAAAAAUGAAAACCCCUGGCCGGGCGCGGUGGCUCACGCCUGUAAUCCCAGCACUUUGGGACGCCGAGGCAGGCGGAUCACGAGGUCAGGAGAUCGAGACCAUCCCGGCUAACACUGUGAAACCCCGUCUCUACUAAAAAUGCGAAAAAUUAGCCGGGCGUGUUGGCGGGCGCCUGUAGUCCCAGCUACUCGGGAGGCUGAGGCAGGAG